AACGAACGCUGGCGGCAGGCCUAAUACAUGCAAGUCGAACGCCGUAGCAAUACGGAGUGGCAGACGGGUGAGUAACGCGUGGGAACCUUCCCAGUGGUACGGAAUAGCCCGGGGAAACCC
rnacentral:rRNA from 1 species